UAGGGAAUAUUGGACAAUGGGGGCAACCCUGAUCCAGCCAUGCCGCGUGAGUGAAGAAGGCCCUCGGGUUGUAAAGCUCUUUUGUCCGGAAAGAAAAGCUUCGGGUUAAUACCCCGGGGUUCUGACGGUACCGGAAGAAUAAGCACCGGCUAACUUCGUGCCAGCAGCCGCGGGAAUACGAAGGGUGCAAGCGUUACUCGGAAUUACUGGGCGUAAAGCGUGAGUAGGUGGUUGUUUACGUCUGAUGUGAAAGCCCUGGGCUCAACCUGGGAAUGGCAUUGGAAACUAGGCAGCUAGAGUGCGGUAGAGGGUAGUGGAAUUCCCGGUGUAGCAGUGAAAUGCGUAGAGAUCGGGAGGAACAUCUGUGGCGAAGGCGACUGCCUGGACCAGCACUGACACUGAGGCACGAAAGCGUGGGGAGCAAACA
rnacentral:rRNA from 1 species